ACAGAGGGGGCAAGCGUUGCUCGGAAUCACUGGGCGUAAAGGGCGCGUAGGCGGGAUGGCAAGUCGGUCGUGAAAUCCUUCGGCUCAACCGAAGAACGUCGGCCGAUACUGCCGUUCUUGAGGGAUGCAGAGGAGAUUGGAAUUCCCGGUGUAGCGGUGAAAUGUGUAGAGAUCGGGAGGAACACCGGUGGCGAAGGCGACUGUCUGGGGAGCAACUGACGCUGAGGCGCUAAAGCUGGGGGAGCAAACGGGA
rnacentral:rRNA from 1 species